rnacentral:rRNA from 1 species
GAUGAACGCUGGCGGCGUGCCUAAUACAUGCAAGUCGAGCGAACGGACGAGAAGCUUGCUUCUCUGAUGUUAGCGGCGGACGGGCGAGUAACACGUGGAUAACCUACCUAUAAGACUGGGAUAACUUCGGGAAAACGGAGCUAAUACCGGAUAAUAUUAUGAACCGCAUGGUUCAAAAGUGAAAGACGGUCUUGCUGUCACAUAUAGAUGGAUCCGCGCUGCAUUAGCUAGUUGGUAAGGUAACGGCUUACCAAGGCAACGAUGCGUAGCCGACCUGAGAGGAUGAUCGGCCACACUGGAACUGAGACACGGUCCAGACUCCUACGGGAGGCAGCAGUAGGGAAUCUUCCGCAAUGGGCGAAAGCCUGACGGAGCAACGCCGCGUGAGUGAUGAAGGUCUUCGGAUCGUAAAACUCUGUUAUUAGGGAAGAACAUAUGUGUGAGUAACUGUGCACAUCUUGACGGUACCUAAUCAGAAAGCCACGGCUAACUUCGUG